AUCCACUGAGACUAAAGGCCACCUGCGGCUCAACACCAAAGCUGCUCUGUUGCCACUUUGACAGCUGUUAUUGACUUGAAGCAUUUAGCUUUAAGUAUCAUGCAGUGCAAAGUGCCUAUCAAAGCUAUUUCCUGUACACACAGGCCAGUAAUAAAAGGUUAGUUAAAAUAGUAAAGACAUAAUAUUUUUUCAUUACAUAUUUUACAUCCCACUUGUGAACAAAAGCACAAAAUAAGAAUGCUUUACUUUGAUUUGUGAUGUAGGCCAAUCAUGUGGCUCUUGAUGCUGGACUAAAUUCUAUAAGAAAUUAUCCUCAAAUCAAUAUUUUGUCUAAGCAUUCUGUCAACCUUAUAUAGCAUAAUUUUAGGUGAAAUACUCAAAUUAAUCCUAAACCUAUUCUAGUCAAUCCACAUUCUAGUACAGUAUAGACACAGAAAUCUUCUAGUACAUUGUGUCUAGUACAUGUCUCAUUGUUAUCUUAAAAAAAAGGAACCAUCGGAGUGUAUCUGCUGUAAUCUCUAAUAAAAAAAGGUUAAAUAACAAAAUACCCCCCAAAAAACAUGAAAAUAAUAUAUAUGGAAAAACUAAAACAUUUUCUGCCAGAAUAACAUCCUCAAAAACAACAUUUAUCAUGGAAUUCAAAGCACAUAAGCUACAACUGUUUAAAAAAAAAGUGUUUUAGGGUGGAUUGCUCUGUUAAGUACGUAGACGUGGAGCUUACUAUCUGUAAGUAGAGAUGGGGCAAAUUUGUUUUGUGAUAUCUUGCCAAAACACUGACAGAACUGUCAUAAUAGUCUAUGCUAAGUGAUGUGAUACUACGGCAGAGGUAUAUUUUCCUUGAUAUUUUACCAUAAGAGUGACAUUUGAGUGCAUAAACUGUAGAUAUCUUGGUGUGAGCGCUAAAAACAUCAUGUUGCAAUUUGUUACACACUGUUGCAUCUUGGUUGUUUGUAAAAUUCUGCAAAUAUGAAAACUUUUAAUAAUAUACUGAAUUAAAGGGAAUGUUUUCCUCUAUAGGUACAUAUAUAAUAAUGUACCAUGGCUGACUGUCAUAGAUCAUAGAUUGACCUACUGUAUAUUCUGUUAAUAUGCUGAUACCAGUGUAUUGCGAACAAUAAUGUAUCUUAUCAUGAGUUACCCUGUGAAUCCUGGCUCUGGUAUUAAGGAAACGUGUGGCAUCAGCUCAUUAGUGGACUGAAAGUCCAGGGUAACAAUAUUGACUGCACAGACCAGGAAUUGAUCCAGCUAAUCUACCUGGAGUCUUAUUUGUUGGCUUUAAACUGGCCUUUCCUGCAAAGCCCCUAUCAGACUGUGUGACAUGGUGCCAAUGGUGGAGUACUGAUAUCAGUGACCCUUCCACUGAGCAGAUAUGUAAUAAGCAUUGAUAUAACCUGUUCAUCACCCCCAUUCUUCUGGCCUCAUCUCAAUGUGACAUGCUGCAAAAUCAUAAAGUGCCCAGCUCCACCCUGUAGGGAAUCUCAUGUGUUGCAAUCAAGCCAGGGGCCCAUCCUGUCUUCUCAAUCAACAUGUAUAGGCCGACUCUGCAGGAACAACCAGCUGACUGAUUUCCAUCACAGAACUCAUCCUGACAUUUUGACAUGUCUGCACUGUAGUUAGACUACAGAAGGUCGACAACUCCAUCGAUCCUAAAUCCGAGAGAUGCUCCUCGUCGUCGGGACGCAGCGCUUCAUCCUUGCCCACCGGGGUGCUCGAGGUCGCGGGUGGGGCGCUGCAGCCGUCUGCGUUGGAGACAGACCUGCUGGGAGUGGG